rnacentral:rRNA from 1 species
AAAGACCUUAUGCUUUUGGAGCGGCCGAUGUCUGAUUAGCUAGUUGGUAGGGUAAUGGCUUACCAAGGCGACGAUCAGUAGUUGGUCUGAGAGGACGGCCAGCCACACUGGGACUGAGACACGGCCCAGACUCCUACGGGAGGCAGCAGUGGGGAAUUUUGGACAAUGGGCGCAAGCCUGAUCCAGCAAUGCCGCGUGAGUGAAGAAGGCCUUCGGGUUGUAAAGCUCUUUCAGUUGAAAAGAAAAAGUUGUGACUAAUAAUCAUAACUCAUGACGGUAUCAACAGAAGAAGCACCGGCUAACUACGUGCCAGCAGCCGCGGUAAUACGUAGGGUGCAAGCGUUAAUCGGAAUUACUGGGCGUAAAGGGUGCGCAGGCGGUUCUGUAAGUCAGAUGUGAAAUCCCCGGGCUUAACCUGGGAACU